UCAAGUGUGAGCUUCAUUUUCUGCCUGCGAGGUGGGAAACUUAUUUCUAACUGAUUCUCUGGGUUUCAACACAUCCUCUGGGUUCUCCAGGGCAUAGGGGAGUGCUGCUGUGUCACUGUGGCAGUGGGGAGUGGAAGACUGAAUAAAUAUUGCAAAUGGAGGGACCAGCCAGAGGGUGCAAAGGCCUCGGGAGCAUGAGGGAAUGCAGCUCACCAGCAGAGUUUCAAGCAGUUCACUAUGGCUCGAGGACAAGAAGAGGGCAAGAAAAGAGGCUGAAAAGCAGUCACGGGUCCCACGAAGAAGGCCUUGGAAGGAAUCAGGACUUCAUCCUGAAGGAGUUGCUGAGCCAUUAAAAGAACAAUUAAGGGAGGAGCAUGCUCAAAGUUUCACCAUAACCCACCCAUUUACACCAGGGCCCCUCUCUGGAGAGCUCCUGCUAUGAUGGGUUUCUCUUUCUGAGUUGAUAUUUUCAUAUCAGCUCAUAUUAAUGGACCAGCAGAGAAAGCUGCAAGGAGGACAUGCCAAGAUCUCAAACCGGGAGCAACACCGUCAGAGCCUCUGGUGAUCUGUACACUUGGAUGUUCAUGUUCAUUACAAGUGGCUUUGUAUUUACAGAGCUAAUAGACCUCAUUACAUAUUUCUACUUUUUUCAUGAUUCUUGACCACCCCAUCCACCGACUCUGUUUGCGCAAGAAUGUCUGCUCGACAGAUAGAUCAGGAUACAAGUGUGAGUUGGGUA
rnacentral:lncRNA from 1 species